AAUAUCAUUUAUUUAUAUUAUUUUUGAAAAUAAUAUAUGAAUUAGAAGAUGACAUAAAAUUGACAAUCUGACUAUGUAAAGGACCCCGCCAAUGGGGGCAUAUACAUUGGCAAUUAAUUAUCCUUAGGAUUUAUAUCGCCAGCGAGACCAGCGACAUGUCGCCAGAGAGACCAGUGACAAACCACCAGCGAGACUAGCGAUUCCAAAGGACUUGGCUGCC
rnacentral:lncRNA from 1 species